AUGAAAGCACACAACCCGCAGCCUUUGGCCGUGGUGUUUUUGAAAACAGGGAAGGGCACAGAAUCGUGGUUUAAAAUACCAGAAAGCUGCAGCCCCCAAAAAAAAAGAGUAUUCCGGGGCGGGCUGGACCUUCCCUGCAGGCAAUCUUCUGUGCAGGCGGACGGACGUUCCUGGGGGAAGGGCGCCACUGUGAGAUGCAAAGACAUCAAGCGGACUUUCAGCUUUCCAGUGGACGCUGCGGGCCCCCUUUCCCUACCCAGUUCUGUACCGCGGCUCCCCAGCCCACCCCGGGCCACCCAAGAGGUCCGGUGGGGUUUGUGCCGGAUUAGUGCCCGCUGGUCGGACUCAGCCCUCCGCACAGCCAGGCCGACCAGGCCCCCAGAAAUUCUGUCGUCGGGUGUGGGACCGCGAAGGAAAGGGCGAGUUUUCUUCCCAGAACUCAGUGGAAAACCAAGGAAAGGAGGCGGCGGCUGUGUAAACCAGGCCUGGGGUGCAGCCUCCGGGAACAAAAGAGGUGGCGAUUGCACAGCAGCCGAGGCUCUGCGUGCUCCUUUGGGGCCACUACGAAUGCACGUGAAUCACCCCUGUCCGUGCAAAGCGCCAGAAAUGAUGAAAACGCACGUUCAUGGGUUCCACUCCAGCCCUACAAGAUCACCAACAGUAUCUGGCAGCACCCAGGAAUCUGCCCUCUCAACAAGCGCCCGGGCCGACGGGCUAGUUAAGUUUGAGAACAAUUGCUUCAUACACAGUCGCUCCGCUAUCACCAAGGAAUCACCGCUGCGGCUGCGGCUGCGGCUGCGGCUGCGGCUGCGGCUGCGGCUGCGGCUGCGGCUGCGGCUGCGGCUGCGGCUGCGGCUGCGGCUGUGGCUUAGGCCAGGCCGCGCCUCAACCGAGCUUGGUCCUUUCCUGUGGUCCCGCCUCGCUGCUCAGCGCGGAUUGGUGAUGGGGCACAAAUCUGGCGCUGAUUGGGCGGUGGUGAAGUCGCUCGUAAAGACUGUAGGGUUCGGGUGCUCUAGAGUGCUAAAUUUAUCUUCAGACCAGCGACCGCGCCAGCCGCGAAUCGGAUCUCUAUGGAGGUGGCCCAGGCGAUAUCCCUGA
rnacentral:lncRNA from 1 species